GCCUUUGUAGUAUAACUAAUACACUGGUCUUGUAAACCAGAAAUGGAGAACACAAUCUCCCUAAGACA
rnacentral:tRNA from 1 species